CUGGUAUUGAUUGGUGCUUGCAUCAUGAUUUACAUUUGAGUGAGUGGCGAACUGGUGAGUAACACGUGGGAAACCUGCCCAGAAGCGGGGGAUAACACCUGGAAACAGAUGCUAAUACCGCAUAACAACUUGGACCGCAUGGUCCGAGUUUGAAAGAUGGCUUCGGCUAUCACUUUUGGAUGGUCCCGCGGCGUAUUAGCUAGAUGGUGAGGUAACGGCUCACCAUGGCAAUGAUACGUAGCCGACCUGAGAGGGUAAUCGGCCACAUUGGGACUGAGACACGGCCCAAACUCCUACGGGAGGCAGCAGUAGGGAAUCUUCCACAAUGGACGAAAGUCUGAUGGAGCAACGCCGCGUGAGUGAAGAAGGGUUUCGGCUCGUAAAACUCUGUUGUUAAAGAAGAACAUAUCUGAGAGUAACUGUUCAGGUAUUGACGGUAUUUAACCAGAAAGCCACGGCUAACUACGUGCCAGCAGCCGCGGUAAUACGUAGGUGGCAAGCGUUGUCCGGAUUUAUUGGGCGUAAAGCGAGCGCAGGCGGUUUUUUAAGUCUGAUGUGAAAGCCUUCGGCUCAACCGAAGAAGUGCAUCGGAAACUGGGAAACUUGAGUGCAGAAGAGGACAGUGGAACUCCAUGUGUAGCGGUGAAAUGCGUAGAUAUAUGGAAGAACACCAGUGGCGAAGGCGGCUGUCUGGUCUGUAACUGACGCUGAGGCUCGAAAGUAUGGGUAGCAAACAGGAUUAGAUACCCUGGUAGUCCAUACCGUAAACGAUGAAUGCUAAGUGUUGGAGGGUUUCCGCCCUUCAGUGCUGCAGCUAACGCAUUAAGCAUUCCGCCUGGGGAGUACGGCCGCAAGGCUGAAACUCAAAGGAAUUGACGGGGGCCCGCACAAGCGGUGGAGCAUGUGGUUUAAUUCGAAGCUACGCGAAGAACCUUACCAGGUCUUGACAUACUAUGCAAAUCUAAGAGAUUAGACGUUCCCUUCGGGGACAUGGAUACAGGUGGUGCAUGGUUGUCGUCAGCUCGUGUCGUGAGAUGUUGGGUUAAGUCCCGCAACGAGCGCAACCCUUAUUAUCAGUUGCCAGCAUUAAGUUGGGCACUCUGGUGAGACUGCCGGUGACAAACCGGAGGAAGGUGGGGAUGACGUCAAAUCAUCAUGCCCCUUAUGACCUGGGCUACACACGUGCUACAAUGGAUGGUACAACGAGUUGCGAACUCGCGAGAGUAAGCUAAUCUCUUAAAGCCAUUCUCAGUUCGGAUUGUAGGCUGCAACUCGCCUACAUGAAGUCGGAAUCGCUAGUAAUCGCGGAUCAGCAUGCCGCGGUGAAUACGUUCCCGGGCCUUGUACACACCGCCCGUCACACCAUGAGAGUUUGUAACACCCAAAGUCGGGGGGU
rnacentral:rRNA from 1 species